AUUGUACGCUGGCGGCAGGCCUAACACAUGCAAGUCGAACGGUAGCACAGAGAGCUUGCUCUCGGGUGACGAGUGGCGGACGGGUGAGUAACGUCUGGGAAACUGCCCGAUGGAGGGGGAUAACUACUGGAAACGGUAGCUAAUACCGCAUAACGUCACAAGACCAAAGUGGGGGACCUUCGGGCCUCACACCAUCGGAUGUGCCCAGAUGGGAUUAGCUAGUAGGUGGGGUAAUGGCUCACCUAGGCGACGAUCCCUAGCUGGUCUGAGAGGAUGACCAGCCACACUGGAACUGAGACACGGUCCAGACUCCUACGGGAGGCAGCAGUGGGGAAUAUUGCACAAUGGGCGCAAGCCUGAUGCAGCCAUGCCGCGUGUAUGAAGAAGGCCUUCGGGUUGUAAAGUACUUUCAGCGGGGAGGAAGGCGGUGAAGUUAAUAGCUUCACCGAUUGACGUUACCCGCAGAAGAAGCACCGGCUAACUCCGUGCCAGCAGCCGCAGUAA
rnacentral:rRNA from 1 species